UCCGGUUUGUCACCGGCAGUCUCCCUAGAGUGCCCUUGCGUAGCAACUGGGGACAAGGGUUGCGCUCGUUGCGGGACUUAACCCAACAUCUCACGACACGAGCUGACGACAGCCAUGCAGCACCUGUGUUACGGCUCCCUUUCGGGCACACCCGGCUCUCACCGGGCUUCCGUACAUGUCAAGGGUAGGUAAGGUUCUUCGCGUUGCGUCGAAUUAAACCACAUGCUCCACUGCUUGUGCGGGCCCCCGUCAAUUCCUUUGAGUUUCAGCCUUGCGGCCGUACUCCCCAGGCGGGAUGCUUAAUGCGUUAGCUGCGCCACUGACGGGUAAACCCGCCAACGGCUAGCAUCCAUCGUUUACGGCGUGGACUAC
rnacentral:misc_RNA from 1 species